rnacentral:rRNA from 1 species
GAUGAACGCUAGCGGCAGGCCUAACACAUGCAAGUCGAGGGGCAGCACAUAAAGUGGUUUACUACUUUUGGUGGCGACCGGCGGACGGGUGCGUAACGCGUAUGCAACCUGCCUCCAACAGGGGGAUAACGGAGAGAAAUUUCCACUAAUACCCCAUAAUAUCAGAAUCGGCAUCGGUUUUGGUUGAAAACUCCGGUGGUUGGAGAUGGGCAUGCGUUGUAUUAGAUAGUUGGUGAGGUAACUGCUCACCAAGUCAACGAUACAUAGGGGGACUGAGAGGUUAGCCCCCCACACUGGUACUGAGGCACGGACCAGACUCCUACGGGAGGCAGCAGUGAGGAAUAUUGGUCAAUGGGGGCAACCCUGAACCAGCCAUGCCGCGUGCAGGAAGACGGCUCUAUGAGUUGUAAACUGCUUUUACAAGGGGAUAAAUCGGUGUACGUGUACACCGUUGAAGGUACCUUGGGAAUAAGGAUCGGCUAACUCCGUGCCAGCCGCCGCAGUAA